UGGGGAAUUUUGGACAAUGGGCGAAAGCCUGAUCCAGCAAUGCCGCGUGUGUGAAGAAGGCCUUCGGGUUGUAAAGCACUUUUGUCCGGAAAGAAAACGCCGUGGUUAAUACCCGUGGCGGAUGACGGUACCGGAAGAAUAAGCACCGGCUAACCACGUGCCAGCAGCCGCGGUAAUACGUAGGGUGCAAGCGUUAAUCGGAAUUACUGGGCGUAAAGCGUGCGCAGGCGGUCCGCUAAGACAGAUGUGAAAUCCCCGGGCUUAACCUGGGAACUGCAUUUGGGACUGGCGGGGUAGAGUAUGGCAGAGGGGGGUAGAAUUCCACGUGUAGCAGUGAAAUGCGUAGAGAUGUGGAGGAAUACCGAUGGCGAAGGCAGCCCCCUGGGCCAAUACUGACGCUCAUGCACGAAAGCGUGGGGAGCAAACAGG
rnacentral:rRNA from 1 species